UACGAAGGGGGCUAGCGUUGCUCGGAAUCACUGGGCGUAAAGGGUGCGUAGGCGGGUCUUUAAGUCAGGGGUGAAAUCCUGGAGCUCAACUCCAGAACUGCCUUUGAUACUGAAGAUCUUGAGUUCGGGAGAGGUGAGUGGAACUGCGAGUGUAGAGGUGAAAUUCGUAGAUAUUAGGAAGAACACCAGUGGCGAAGGCGGCCCACUGGAUCGGUACUGACGCUGAGGUGCGAAAGCGUGGGGAGCAAACAGG
rnacentral:rRNA from 1 species